rnacentral:rRNA from 1 species
GACGAACGCUGGCGGCGUGCCUAAUACAUGCCAGUAGAACGCACAGUUUAUACCGUAGCUUGCUACACCAUAGACUGUGAGUUGCGAACGGGUGAGUAACGCGUAGGUAACCUGCCUGGUAGCGGGGGAUAACUAUUGGAAACGAUAGCUAAUACCGCAUAAUAUUAAUUAUUGCAUGAUAAUUAAUUGAAAGGUGCAAUUGCACCACUACCAGAUGGACCUGCGUUGUAUUAGCUAGUAGGUGAGGUAACGGCUCACCUAGGCGACGAUACAUAGCCGACCUGAGAGGGUGAUCGGCCACACUGGGACUGAGACACGGCCCAGACUCCUACGGGAGGCAGCAGUAGGGAAUCUUCGGCAAUGGACAAAAGUCUGACCGAGCAACGCCGCGUGAGUGAAGAAGGUUUUCGGAUCGUAAAGCUCUGUUGUAAGAGAAGAACGGGUGUGAGAGUGGAAAGUUCACACUGUGACGGUAUCUUACCAGAAAGGGACGGCUAACUACGUG